UGGGGAAUAUUGCACAAUGGGCGCAAGCCUGAUGCAGCCAUGCCGCGUGUGUGAAGAAGGCCUUCGGGUUGUAAAGCACUUUCAGCGGGGAGGAAGGCGGUGAGGUUAAUAACCUCACCGAUUGACGUUACCCGCAGAAGAAGCACCGGCUAACUCCGUGCCAGCAGCCGCGGUAAUACGGAGGGUGCAAGCGUUAAUCGGAAUUACUGGGCGUAAAGCGCACGCAGGCGGUCUGUCAAGUCGGAUGUGAAAUACCCGGGCGCAACCUGGGAACUGCAUUCGAAACAGGCAGGCUAGAGUCUUGUAGAGGGGGGUAGAAUUCCAGGUGUAGCGGUGAAAUGCGUAGAGAUCUGGGGGAAUACCGGUGGCGAAGGCGGCCCCCUGGACAAAGACUGACGCUCAGGUGCGAAAGCGUGGGGAGCAAACAGG
rnacentral:rRNA from 1 species